GGCAGUAUGGUGUAUGGCCGCACACUGGAUUUCCUUGAGUAGGAACAAAAUAAAUGUGUAUUCAAUCCAGAGGACCUUGUUCGACUCAAGGUACUGCCC